rnacentral:misc_RNA from 1 species
AAGACUAUAGACCUGCGGAGUACCUGCGGAAGGAUCAUUACCGAAUGGUCUCCGUGACCUUUUCACCCAUAAUGCCCGUGGCAAAAUCAUGUGCUUUGGCGCCCCCUGGGGCGCCAUGACCAUGCGUGUAUAUAUGCCUUUUGUCUGAAGUAUAGUAAACAAGCAAAACUUUCAGCAAUGGAUCUCU